UUGACCUCAAAUCAGGUAGGACUACCCGCUGAACUUAAGCAUAUCAAUAAGCGGAGGAAAAGAAACUAACAAGGAUUCCCCUAGUAACUGCGAGUGAAGCGGGAAAAGCUCAAAUUUAAAAUCUGGCGGUCUUGCGGCCGUCCGAGUUGUAAUCUGGAGAAGCGUUUAUCCGCGUCGGACCGUGUACAAGUCUUCUGGAAGGGAGCGUCGUAGAGGGUGAGAAUCCCGUCUUUGACACGGACAACCGGUGCUUUUGU
rnacentral:rRNA from 1 species